CUUGAUUAAUAUUUGAAGCGACAAGACCUUUCCCAGUCAGAUGAAUAAUUUGAUACGUUUGCAGUAAUUCAUCUAAAUGACGACGAAUGGCUUCAUUAAUUUUCAAACUUCCCAUACUGCCACCCAUCACGAGUAAUAUCUUUUUAUUAGGUGUGAAGCCUGUCAAUGCAUAGCC
rnacentral:ncRNA from 1 species